GACUCAUAUCCCAGCUUCAACUUGGAUUCGCUGUGUGACUUCAGAAUUUCAUAUAAAUUGGAAACAUAGAAUGUGUCUCCUUCUUUGUAAGACUUCUUUUACUCAAGGCAGCUGGGAAACCCGCCAAGGCUCAGGCGCUGAAGGGGCAAAAGGAACAGAAAGAGCAAGAAGCACUUGGAUCAACCAUUCGUCUCUCUCCAAGGCCCAUACACGUUCCCGUCUAAAGUUGGCAUUUAUAUACUUGACUUCUCCUGCAUUCUCUCCCCUUCAGAUUUAAUGUCUAGGUUUGUCUGAUUUUUAAACUGGGUUAUUUGAAUGUCAAACUUUCGGUAACACUUUAAUAGAGGUGUCCAUUAACCCGUGCUAAAUGAGAGCCCGGCGUCUCUGGAAAUGCAUGUGACAUCCGGAGGAAUCCACAUGAAUACCAAAUGCCUUCAUUAUGCGCAGCCCCCAGCGCGAUGAAUACCAAACACGGAGCCCAGCGCAGGGACUGGGUCCUCGCUCCCAGGAGUUGCCAACACCUCUCUGCGUUUCCUCAGCGGUCCCAGUCAGCCCCGUUCGCUGUUUCUCUCCAGGUGACUAGGCGCGGCAAGGGUGGCUUUGGCGGAAACAAAUAAAUGGCGCGCUCAUCACCAAAUUCAGAGCUGAGGCAGGGAGGAGGCUGGCGCCCAUCACCGGGGAGUCAGCAAGGGGACGCGCGCUUAGUAUGCAAGACGGGUUCCCGACACUUCAUAAAAGGCGAUAACUUUCUUUGACCAAUGAAUGUAUUA